AUUGAACGCUGGCGGAAUGCUUUACACAUGCAAGUCGAACGGCAGCACGGACUUCGGUCUGGUGGCGAGUGGCGAACGGGUGAGUAACAUAUCGGAACGUAUCCAAUAAUGGGGGAUAACGAGUCGAAAGAUUCGCUAAUACCGCAUACGCCCUACGGGGGAAAGCUGGGGACCUUCGGGCCUGGCGUUAAUGGAGCGGCCGAUAUCUGAUUAGCUAGUUGGUGAGGUAAAGGCACACCAAGGCGACGAUCAGUAGCUGGUCUGAGAGGACGACCAGCCACACUGGAACUGAGACACGGUCCAGACUCCUACGGGAGGCAGCGGUGGGGAAUUUUGGACAAUGGGCGAAAGCCUGAUCCAGCCAUUCCGCGUGCAGGAUGAAGGCCCUCGGGUUGUAAACUGCUUUUGUACAGAACGAAAAGGUUUCUACUAAUACUAGGAGCUCAUGACGGUACUGUAAGAAUAAGCACCGGCUAACUACGUGCCAGCCGCCGCUGUAA
rnacentral:rRNA from 1 species